CUAGGCCCGUCCUGCCUCGGUUCCGGGUUCGCCCGGUGAAAAGGGAACGCAGUGUGAAUCUGCGGCUGCCCCCGCAACUGUCAGCGGUCAGCAACGUCGGGAAUGCCACUGUCCCCAAAGGGAUGGGAAGGUCCGGCCAAGCGACGACCCGCCCAGCCAGGAGACCUGCCGAGCGCGAUCACCCAAA
rnacentral:ncRNA from 2 species